UCCAACCCUCCUUCUACCCCUUGCAGAUCUAAUAUGAAGUGGGCAUCGGUUGAAAUUGUUAUGGCCGCAACAGUACAGCAAGUAUUGUUUCAGUUUUUAUGUGAUAUUUGAUUGUGAGUGUGCUGUUUGAUGAUGCUCGCCUCAUCCAUUUUUCAUGUCUUGUAUGAAAUCUUUACCCUAUUAGAAGAUGCCACCAUCGAUUUAAUAAUAACACUAAUGAUCAUUUGAUUCUAGUCUAGAGAUACAACAACAUUAGUUAGAUCCAUGGAUGGAUGGAUGAACACACACAGCUAGCAGCUUAGCAGUGUUAGCAACCACAAAAAUCAGCCUUGUGAUUCAUUCUGUUGACGCAAGCAUGCUCUAUUCGUUUUGGAUCCCAGCCAUGUAUGUACUAAUAAGCUAUCUCAAGCACACGCACAUGUUGCUCGAUUGAUAUCUGUAGUUAUAGCAGCAGUACGUAUGUGUCUCCUAUACUAGAUUAAUUUCUAGACUUAGCUCAACAACAACAGCUCUUACCUGUUUGUUCGUUUUAGAGCAGCAGACAUCCUCAGUUGACAAUGAUGACAACCAGGGCAUCCACCGCCACAACGACGCUCCGCACAUGGUCCAACUUGGCUACAACUUCCUCUACCGCGUACAGUGGCCGCGGUUGUCUGUGGCAUCAAGUACAGCCUCCUCUUCGAUAUUUUGCGUAAAUUCAAGACGAAAGAUGUUCAAAGAAGCACCAAGACAUUCUUAUAUAGCAAGUUAUGUAAUAAUAGCUGGGUUAUCUGGGCAUUGAGAACUCUAGAGUUUCAUGUAUCUUCUCUCUGUUUCUGAAUGAAAUGUUGUAUGUUUUAGAAUUA